rnacentral:misc_RNA from 1 species
GAUGAAGAACGCAGCGAAAUGCGAUAAGUAAUGUGAAUUGCAGAAUUCCGUGAAUCAUCGAAUCUUUGAACGCACAUUGCGCCCGCCAGUAUUCUGGCGGGCAUGCCUGUUCGAGCGUCAUUUCAACCAUCAAGCCCUGCUUGCGUUGGGGUCCUGCGGCUGCCCGCAGGCCCUGAAAACCAGUGGCGGGCUCGCUAGUCACACCGAGCGCAGUAAUACAUCUCGCUUUGGGCGUGCGGCGGGUUCUUGCCGUUAAACACCCCCUUUUUACCAAGGUUGACCUCGGAUCAGGUAGGAAUACCCGCUGAACUUAAGCAUAUCAAUAAGCGGAGGA